CAAUAUGCAAUAUUCUCUUUUUUUUUGAGAUGGAGUUACACUCUUGUUGCCCAGGCUGGAGCGCAAUGGUGCAAUCUCAGCUCACCGCAACCUCCGCCUCCUGGGUUCAAGUGAUUCUUUUGUCCCAGCCUCCCAAAUAGGUGGGAUUACAGGCCACCACACCCAGCUAAUUUUGUAUUUUCAGUAGAAACCGAGUUUCUCCAUGUUGGUCAGGCUGGUCUUGAACUUCCAACCUCAGGUGAUCUGCCCGCCUUGGCCUCCCUAAGUGCUGGGAUUAUAGGAGUGAGCCACCGCGCCCGGACUAAUUUUUUUGUAUUUUUAGUAGAGGCCGGGUUUCAUCUUGUUGGCCAGCCUGGUCUCAGGUGAUCUACAGGCCUUGGCCUCCCAAAGUGCAGGGAUUACAGGUGUAAGCCACCACACCCAGCCAAAAUCCUAUGUUUUGAUGCAGUCCACUGAAAUUAGUUUUGAUCCCACUCCACCAUGGAAUGAUUUCCUAGUUGCCAAACCCAAACCCAGAGGAUUUUUUUCAGCCCUAAUUUUUUUUUCUUCUUUUUUAUUUUUCUUUUUUUGUUGAGACAGGGUCUCACAACCCCAGCCCUUUUUACUUAUUUUAUUAUUUAUUUAUUUAUUUAUUUUUUAUUAUUAUUUUUGAGACGGAGUCUCGCUCUGUCACCAGGCUGGAGUGCAGUGGCACGAUCUCAGCUCAUUGAAACCUCCGCCUUCCAGGUUCACGCCAUUCUCCUG
rnacentral:lncRNA from 10 species